rnacentral:rRNA from 1 species
GAGUUUGAUUAUGGCUCAGAUUGAACGCUGGCGGCAGGCUUAACACAUGCAAGUCGAACGGUAGCAGGAGAAAGCUUGCUUUCUUGCUGACGAGUGGCGGACGGGUGAGUAAUGCUUGGGAAUCUGGCUUAUGGAGGGGGAUAACUACUGGAAACGGUAGCUAAUACCGCGUAAUAUCGAGAGAUUAAAGACUGGGACCUACGGGCCAGUUGCCAUAAGAUGAGCCCAAGUGGGAUUAGGUAGUUGGUGGGGUAAAGGCCUACCAAGCCCGCGAUCUCUAGCUGGUCUGAGAGGAUGACCAGCCACACUGGAACUGAGACACGGUCCAGACUCCUACGGGAGGCAGCAGUGGGGAAUAUUGCACAAUGGGGGGAACCCUGAUGCAGCCAUGCCGCGUGAAUGAAGAAGGCCUUCGGGUUGUAAAGUUCUUUCGGUGGUGAGGAAGGUAUCAACUUUAAUAGAGUUGGNAAUUGAC